CAAUCUGUAACAAGUUUAAUUUUAUUGGGCUUUUUACCAUUUGAUUCAUACCACAUACCUGACGUUUUGAAAAAGUAAAUAUUUUAUUGUUGCACAAAACAGAAGCAAAAACAGAUACAUGUAGGUUGUGUUUACCUCAUAACUAUUAAACCAGUCUGGUCCAAACGUGCCUUUUAGAAGUCACAUAAAUGUUUAUUGCACAGCAGCAGGGUCAAUCUGCUGUAGUCGAAUUGUUGGC